rnacentral:rRNA from 1 species
GACAGAGGGGGCAAGCGUUGCUCGGAAUCACUGGGCGUAAAGGGCGCGUAGGCGGGAUGGCAAGUCGGUCGUGAAAUCCUUCGGCUCAACCGAAGAACGUCGGCCGAUACUGCCGUUCUUGAGGGAUGCAGAGGAGAUUGGAAUUCCCGGUGUAGCGGUGAAAUGUGUAGAUAUCGGGAGGAACAUCCGUGGCGAAGGCGGCACCCUGGACCAGCACUGACACUGAGGCACGAAAGCGUGGGGAGCAAACAGG